rnacentral:rRNA from 1 species
AGAGUUUGAUCAUGGCUCAGAUUGAACGCUGGCGGUAUGCUUAACACAUGCAAGUCGAACGGUAGCAGGCCUUCGGGCGCUGACGAGUGGCGGACGGGUGAGUAACGCGUAGGAAUCUGCCUCAUAGUGGGGAACAACGUGGGGAAACUCACGCUAAUACCGCAUACGCCCUACGGGGGAAAGCGGGGGAUCUUCGGACCUCGCGCUAUGAGAUGAGCCUGCGUUAGAUUAGCUGGUUGGUGGGGUAAAGGCCUACCAAGGCGACGAUCUAUAGCUGGUCUGAGAGGACGAUCAGCCACACUGGGACUGAGACACGGCCCAGACUCCUACGGGAGGCAGCAGUGGGGAAUAUUGGACAAUGGGCGCAAGCCUGAUCCAGCAAUACCGCGUGUGUGAAGAAGGCCCUAGGGUUGUAAAGCACUUUCAAUGGGGAGGAAAACCUGUCGGUCAAUACCCGGCAGCUUGACAUUACCUAUAGAAGAAGCACCGGCUAACUCCGUGCCAGCAGCCGCGGUAAUACGGAGGGUGCGAGCGUUAAUCGGAAUUACUGGGCGUAAAGCGUGCGUAGGCGGUUAAUUAAGUCAGAUGUGAAAGCCCCGGGCUUAACCUGGGAACGGCAUUUGAUACUGGCUAACUAGAGUUUAAUAGAGGGGAGUGGAAUUUCAGGUGUAGCGGUGAAAUGCGUAGAUAUCUGAAGGAACACCAGUGGCGAAGGCGACUCCCUGGAUUAAAACUGACGCUGAGGUACGAAAGCGUGGGUAGCAAACAGGAUUAGAUACCCUAGUAGUCC